UCCCAUAUGGUGUAGUGGUUAGCAUACCAGGUUUUCACCCGCUCCUGAUUCAUCAUCAAGAGAUUUGAAGCUCCCCUGGCGACCCGGGUUCAAUUCCCGGUGUGGGAA